rnacentral:rRNA from 1 species
GGUUAAGCGACUAAGCGUACACGGUGGAUGCCCGGCAGUCAGAGGCGAUGAAGGACGUGCUAAUCUGCGAAAAGCGUCGGUAAGGUGAUAUGAACCGUUAUAACCGGCGAUGUCCGAAUGGGGAAACCCAGUGCAAUUCGUUGCACUAUCGUUAACUGAAUACAUAGGUUAACGAGGCGAACCGGGGGAACUGAAACAUCUAAGUACCCCGAGGAAAAGAAAUCAACCGAGAUUCCCCCCAGUAGCGGCGAGCGAACGGGGAGCAGCCCAGAGUCUGAAUCAGCUUGUGUGUUAGUGGAACGGUCUGGAAAGUCCGACGGUACAGGGUGAUAGUCCCGUACACCAAAAUGCACAGGUUGUGAACUCGAAGAGUAGGGCGGGACACGUGGUAUCCUGUCUGAAUAUGGGGGACCAUCCUCCAAGGCUAAAUACUCCUGACUGACCGAUAGUGAACCAGUACCGUGAGGGAAAGGCGAAAAGAACCCCGGCGAGGGGAGUGAAAAAGAACCUGAAACCGUGUACGUACAAGCAGUGGGAGCACCUUCGGGUGUGACUGCGUACCUUUGUAUAAUGGGUCAGCGACUUAUAUUCUGUAGCAAGGUUAACCGUAUAGGGGAGCCGCAGGAAACCGAGUCUUAACUGGGCGUUAAGUUGCAGGGUAUAGACCCGAAACCCGGUGAUCUAGCCAUGGGCAGGUUGAAGGUUGGGUAACACUAACUGGAGGACCGAACCGACUAAUGUUGAAAAAUUAGCGGAUGACUUGUGGCUGGGGGUGAAAGGCCAAUCAAACCGGGAGAUAGCUGGUUCUCCCCGAAAGCUAUUUAGGUAGCGCCUCGUGAACUCAUCUUCGGGGGUAGAGCACUGUUUCGGCUAGGGGGUCAUCCCGACUUACCAACCCGAUGCAAACUACGAAUACCGAAGAAUGUUAUCACGGGAGACACACGGCGGGUGCUAACGUCCGUCGUGAAGAGGGAAACAACCCAGACCGCCAGCUAAGGUCCCAAAGUCAUGGUUAAGUGGGAAACGAUGUGGGAAGGCACAGACAGCCGGGGAUGUUGGCUUAGAAGCAGCCAUCAUUUAAAGAAAGCGUAAUAGCUCACUGGUCGAGUCGGCCUGCGCGGAAGAUGUAACGGGGCUAAACCAUGCACCGAAGCUGCGGCAGCGACACUAUGUGUUGUUGGGUAGGGGAGCGUUCUGUAAGCCUGCGAAGGUGUGCUGUGAGGCAUGCUGGAGGUAUCAGAAGUGCGAAUGCUGACAUAAGUAACGAUAAAGCGGGUGAAAAGCCCGCUCGCCGGAAGACCAAGGGUUCCUGUCCAACGUUAAUCGGGGCAGGGUGAGUCGACCCUAAGGCGAGGCCGAAAGGCGUAGUCGAUGGGAAACAGGUUAAUAUUCCUGUACUUGGUGUUACUGCGAAGGGGGACGGAGAAGGCUAUGUUAGCCGGGCGACGGUUGUCCCGGUUUAAGCAUGUAGGCUGAUUGUCCGAGGCAAAUCCGGAUAAUCAAGGCUGAGGUGUGAUGACGAGGCACUACGGUGCUGAAGUAACAAAUGCCCUGCUUCCGAGGAAAAGCCUCUAAGCAUCAGGUAACAUUAAAUCGUACCCCAAACCGACACAGGUGGUCAGGUAGAGAAUACCAAGGCGCUUGAGAGAACUCGGGUGAAGGAACUAGGCAAAAUGGUGCCGUAACUUCGGGAGAAGGCACGCUGGUGUGUAGGUGAAGUCCCUGCGGAUGGAGCUGAGACCAGUCGAAGAUACCAGCUGGCUGCAACUGUUUAUUAAAAACACAGCACUGUGCAAACACGAAAGUGGACGUAUACGGUGUGACGCCUGCCCGGUGCCGGAAGGUUAAUUGAUGGGGUUAUCCGUAAGGAGAAGCUCUUGAUCGAAGCCCCGGUAAACGGCGGCCGUAACUAUAACGGUCCUAAGGUAGCGAAAUUCCUUGUCGGGUAAGUUCCGACCUGCACGAAUGGCGUAAUGAUGGCCGGGCUGUCUCCACCCGAGACUCAGUGAAAUUGAACUCGCUGUGAAGAUGCAGUGUACCCGCGGCAAGACGGAAAGACCCCGUGAACCUUUACUAUAGCUUGACACUGAACAUUGAGCCUUGAUGUGUAGGAUAGGUGGGAGGCUUUGAAGCGUGGACGCCAGUCUGCGUGGAGCCAACCUUGAAAUACCACCCUUUAAUGUUUGAUGUUCUAACGUUGGCCCCUGACCGGGGUUGCGGACAGUGUCUGGUGGGUAGUUUGACUGGGGCGGUCUCCUCCCAAAGCGUAACGGAGGAGCACGAAGGUUAGCUAAUCCCCGGUCGGACAUCAGGAGGUUAGUGCAAUGGCAUAAGCUAGCUUGACUGCGAGCGUGACGGCGCGAGCAGGUGCGAAAGCAGGUCAUAGUGAUCCGGUGGUUCUGAAUGGAAGGGCCAUCGCUCAACGGAUAAAAGGUACUCCGGGGAUAACAGGCUGAUACCGCCCAAGAGUUCAUAUCGACGGCGGUGUUUGGCACCUCGAUGUCGGCUCAUCACAUCCCCGGGGCUGAAGUAGGUCCCAAGGGUAUGGCUGUUCGCCAUUUAAAGUGGUACGCGAGCUGGGUUUAGAACGUCGUGAGACAGUUCGGUCCCUAUCUGCCGUGGGCGCUGGAGAAUUGAGGGGGCUGCUCCUAGUACGAGAGGACCGGAGUGGACGCAUCACUGGUGUUCGGGUUGUCAUGCCAAUGGCACUGCCCGGUAGCUAAAUGCGGAAGAGAUAAGUGCUGAAAGCAUCUAAGCACGAAACUUGCCCCGAGAUGAGUUCUCCCUGAGACUUUAAGUCUCCUGAAGGAACGUUGAAGACGACGACGUUGAUAGGCCGGGUGUGUAAGCGCAGCGAUGCGUUGAGCUAACCGGUACUAAUGAACCGUGAGGCUUAACCUU